rnacentral:lncRNA from 1 species
AAGAGGGCAAGGAGUAUCAGGUUAAUAGGAUGCUUCUGGUGGUAAAUGUGCAGAGGCCAGAUUACUGCAAGUAUUGUCAACCAAAUCAACAAUAAACCUUCUCAACACAAUGAAAAAUAAAAUGAAUAGCUGAUGAACUAAUGUGCAUAUAAUACACAGCUCAUCUCCAGAAUCUGUGCUAGACAAAUUCUUCCAACGCAUAAUAAUACAAAUUCAAGGUACUAACAAAUUACUAUAUGAGCACAUGAUGCCACUCAACACAGAAACUAAGAGAAAUUGAUAAGAAGUGCAGAAACAUGAAGGCAUUUAGUGCAAGAAUCAGGUCGACCAAACUUAGCAAUCAAGACUAAAAGAAACUAUCUAUGAACAACGAAUCAUAUCGACAACAUCAUUUAAUCCCUAAAUUCAGGCAGCACAAAGUAACAUUUGAAUUAUACAAUCUAGGCGUAAAUCCAGAUUCACUUAACCCUAAGCCGACAACGCAGAUCAAACCGUGAGAAUUCUAAUCAACGCAUCGCAUCGAAAAUAUACAACAAAAAACGAGGAGGACGAAAUGGAAAUCUGAUGCAACGAAAGAGCGAGAUCUAGAGGAAAAAACAGCAGGAAACUACGUACAGACGAAGGGGACGAUGCAGAGGAAAAGAAGAAGGCCGGGAGAUGCGGUCAAGACAUCGUUGACGGGAGGAUUAAGGACAACGACGGCGGAGAUAAGCGUGGUGAGGAGGAGCUGGGCUGAGAGAAUCCCAUAGACCUUGCGUAUGAAUCCCCAUCGGAGUUGAUUCUCGC